rnacentral:tRNA from 1 species
GGAGGGGUAGCGAAGUGGCUAAACGCGGCGGACUGUAAAUCCGCUCCUUUACUGGAUUAUGGUUCAGAUCAAUCCUUUCCCCA